GCUGGGAAAGCUUACAGAACCAGCAGCGAGAGGAACCACAGUCAGUACGGAGGAAGUCGUUCAAUACUGUCCUGUAUCUGACGCGUCCUGUUCCUACCGAACCAGGGAAUAGGAGACCCAGCGCCAUCGCGGCGUUCUGCGUGAGACACAAAACCGUCCUAACACGGAACCGUGGAACCAGAGGCGGUGUGUACGCGCGUCGUAAACCGGGCGAAGCAUCAGCGAGACGGGGGCCUCUGCCUCACUGGGCUGCGUUUGUGCGUUUGGAACCCUAGCCUUAAAUAACAAGGCACCUUGCCCCCACUAACCCCUUCCGGGUACAAAAUGCUGAGGCGAAGUCCCCACUUUGGCCUUCUUUCUCGGCUUGCGAAAUGGAGGGAACGGCGUGAACAACGAGAAACUGCAGCCCAGCGACCCCGAGGCCUGGAGCAGGCUGAAGUUUAAGGGAGUAAGCUCCAGAAUUCUCCCAGGCUCAGAAAAGGGUCCUGCAGUGCGGUCCUCCUGGGCACACAAACGUGGAAACAUGCACACACACAGGGGCAUCUCCUGUCAGUCAAAUCAGGGCCUUUGAGAAGAUGAUCAUCUUAGCAACACGUUCAGACGGACAAGAUUAUCUGUCAAUCAGAUAAGAAGGAUUCUCAAAGUAAAAGAUAUCUUAGUCGCUUACAUCAGAUGUAUUCCACUUCCCUCGCUAACAUGGAGUUCUCCAGGAGGUAAGUCUCUUUCUAACAUGUACAUGGAUGCUUAUUUUAGAUACCUUUUGCACAAUCACAUCCAUGGUGUUUUCAUAGAGGUAUGAAAGAACUGUCACUACACAGUAUGGUACCACCACUAUUUCCCAGCAAAAGAAGCAUCAUGAAACCUAAUCAAUGAGAAUUUGUUGUUGUUUAGUCAUUAAAUUGUGUCUAAUUCUUGCAGCCCCAUGGACAGUAGCCCUCCAGGCUUCUCUGUCCAUGGGAUUUCUCAGGCGAGAAUACUGGAGUGGAGUAACUAGCAUAAUGUAAGUCUAGAAAGUAAACAAAAGUAACUCCUGUCCUUUGAGGGUCGUCUGGACUAUAAGAGGUGGAGGUAGAGAGGAGAGAAAGGGAUGGUUAGCUCAGAGGAUUGCAUAACCCCUCCCUCGAGACUGCAAAUUGUUAAAGCCUGUUACUCAUACAGAUUUAAAUUCAGCAUUGCUCCUACCAAACAUGCCGAUUCCGCAGAAUGGAGCUGAGUCCAGGCACGCACCAAGGCCGAGAGAGUGCGGCGCUUGGAGAGCCAGGCGCCCCAGCUGGGCACCUGGUGGGUGCAGGGCCCACACGUGCACAAGCGUGGGAUUGGUGGGUGUGUGCGCUCAGUCACUCAGCCGUGUCCAGC